rnacentral:rRNA from 1 species
CCUACGGGAGGCAGCAGUGAGGAAUAUUGGUCAAUGGCCGGAAGGCUGAACCAGCCAAGCCGCGUGAAGGAUGAAGGUGCCAAGCAUUUUAAACUUCUUUUGUCAAGGAACAAAAUCACGCUCGUGAGCCUGACUGAGUGUACUUUACGAAAAAGCAUCGGCUAACUCCGUGCCAGCAGCCGCGGUAAUACGGAGGAUGCGAUCGUUAUCCGGAUUUAUUUGGUUUGACGGGUGCGUAGUCGGACUGUUAUGUCAGCGGUAAAAGCACGGGGCUCAACCCGGGCGAGCCGUUGAAACUGGCUGUCUUGAGAGGGCGAGAGGUAUGUGGAAUGCGCGGUGUAGCGGUGAAAUGCUUAGAUAUCGCGCAGAACUCCGAUUGCGAAGGCAGCAUACCGGCGGAUAUCUGACGCUGAGGCACGAAAGCGUGGGUAUCGAACAGGAUUAGAUACCCCUGUAGUC